CAGCCCUUACCAUUUUUGUAAAGGAAAGAAGAAAUAUUUAUUUUCAAUCUAUUCAGCUACUUGUUUUCCUGGUGUGUUCAAUCCUCUCUGUUCUUUCAUGUUUCAGCACAGGAGAAAUGGUGUCUCUUCCCCUGCCCCAAACUUACAACGCCAAACCCAGAGAAAAUGUUGUAUAAACCAGGAAACGCUGAUUUAGGAAAGGAGAGGAUGGGAGAGCUGAAUCUGGGGGAUGUGCUGCAGGGACAGAUAGCAAGGUGCAGCUGGAGGGAAACAAGUGGGAUUGCUCUAAACCUCUGGGGCUGGAAACCUGCUGGAAAACCUACAGGACCGCCAGCCUU